rnacentral:rRNA from 1 species
GACGAACGCUGGCGGCGUGCCUAAUACAUGCAAGUCGAACGCUCUUUUCUUAUCGAACUUCGGUUCACCAAGAAAAGGGAGUGGCGAACGGGUGAGUAACACGUGGGUAACCUACCCAUCAGCGGGGGAUAACACUUGGAAACAGGUGCUAAUACCGCAUAACAAUCAGAAUCGCAUGAUUUUGAUUUGAAAGGCGCUUUUGCGUCACUUGAGGAUGGACCCGCGGUGCAUUAGCUA